CAGGGACGUUGCUAUGCAACGCUGGGCGGGGCUUGUUGUUGCUAGGCCGGAGCCGGAAUCGCCCGGGACCCGGAAGGGACACCUCGCGCCCUGGGUUUUAGUGGAAGGCGCCCCAGGCUACCAGGGAUCGCGACACUGCUCUCCCGGUGACUUUCUUCGGGCCUGAGCUUCCCCCGGCUGGACGCAGUUUCUGAGGGUCCUUCCGGUUCACACUCUGCCACUCCGUGAUCCUCUUGGCUCCGGAGUGAAGAACCCUGCGUCUUUGUGCACGUGUCUGUGCGCCUGCCUGUGAGGGGGGUGGGGGUGCAGAGCGGGUAUCGCUUUUGGAUUUCCAUAGCAACUGCUCCUGUGUCACCCCAUUGCUCCCAAAGUAGGCACUCAGUGGUGCUCCCUUCCUCCCUCCCUGGAGCCCAACUCUUCUCAGAACCCAACCAAAGCAAAUCAACUUCAGUUGCCGCUUAAGACAUGACAACUAGACACCAGAAGAACUUCCAGAUGUCAGGGCAGACUGGAUUUGAUGCACAGGAUGAGGACUAUUGUUUUCUCUAUUUGUCCUUCUUGGAAGCUGGAGGUCAGGUUGACAUGGAAGGCUGAAAAGGAAGAGGAACUUCCAAAUAAGGAGAAGAGGUGCUGCAGAGAAGUGGAUCCAGAUUCAGUUUCUCUGCAGGGAUCCCCCCCACACACUGUCCCCAUCACACUGGCAAAACCUUGGCUCCUGCCUCCUUAUCUGCAAUGAUCUCAGCAGAAAAGAGCUCCCACUGAAGAGAAAACUGAGGCUUGGAUAUCAUAAGUGAUCUGCCCAAGGUCACACAACCGGUGAGGGGACAGAGGCAGGAAUCCAGAUCUGUGUGGCUUCGGAGCCUGAAGUCUUCUGGUUCAUCACAUGGGAAACUGUGAACCAGUGUUUUACUGCACAAACAUCAGUCAAGAGUCACAGAUCAAAAGCUCUGUGAGGGCAAGGUGUCUGCUUGCCAUUUCACCAUUCAUUCACUCAGUGAAUAUUUGCUGACUACUUACCUUGUACCUGGUGGUGGGUGCCACGGGCCCCAGCUGUGAAUGGAUGGACAAGGUCCCUGACUUCACAGAACUCACAGUCCAGGGGGGCAACAAGUUACAUGUGUGUAAAUAAACAACAUAUUUUCAGAGCAAUGAGUAUUGCCAAGGAAAUAUAACAGGGGUAUGGGAUGAAGCAACUGGGGGUGGGGUAGGGCUAUUUUAGAGGUGUGGUCAGGGGAGGCUCCCUGGAGGAAGUGACCUUGGAGCUGAGACCUUCUUGAUAAGGAGUCAGCCAUGGGAAUUGCCGGGGGAAGGGUUUGGAGUUUUCUAAGAGCAGCAAGGAGAACUCUGUGGCUGCAGCAUGGUGUGGGGUGGGGGUAGGGGACUGGAGAUGGGUCUGAAAGGCUGCUAAGGGCCAGGCUAUGCAGGGUCUGGAAGGCCACAUUGUCAAGUGCAGUGGGAAGCCACUAGCAGGCUUAAGAGGUGCCCUGAUUUACACUUUUAAAGAGAUGGCUCAGUUCAGUGGGCUCCAGGAGAAUGGACUGAGGUGGGGGAGGUAGGAGUGGAAGCCCAGAAAUUAAGUAAGGGAGAAUCUGGGCACUGGAUGAUGGUGGCGUGGACUCCCCUGUUGGCAGUGGGGAUGUAACGAGUGGAUAGAUGUGGGAUAUUUUGGGAGGUAGAAGCAACAAGACUUGCUGAUGGCCGGGAUCCCAGUGCCUAGAACAUAGUAGACUCAAUAAAUAUUUGUUGAAUAAAUGAAUAAAGGCGCC
rnacentral:lncRNA from 10 species